AAACCUUAAAUUUGCCGAGUGUUUUAUAUUUACCGAGUGUAUUCUCUCGGACACUCGGCGAACAAGUUCUUAACCGAGUGCUGCGCUGAAAACACUCGGCAAAAAAAAAACACUCGGAAAAGAGGAGGUUUGCCGAGUGCCAAAUAAAGACACUCGGCAAAAUAAAUAAAAUAUUUUUUCUGGAAAAGAAGGCGAAGAAAAAAAAUUGAAUUUAUUUUUUGCCGAGUGACCAGACCUAGGACACUCGGCAAAGAGAUUUUCCCGCACCGCCCGGCCCCUCCUCCAAAUCCUCGCGCCCGGCCCCUCCUCCCUCUCCAACCGCCGCCCCAGCCCCUCCUCUUCCUUUCUCCAGCCGCCACACCGCCCUUCCCCUCCUCUCCCUUUCUUCGGCCGCCGCCCCGCCCAUCUUCCCCGGAUUCGACCAGAUCCGGCCGCCGCACCGCCCCUCCUCCCCGGAUCCAGCGGGGACCUCGCCCCUCCUCCCUGGAUCCGGCGGCCGGGGCCGCCCCCUCCCUCCCUCCCUCCCCCAACGGCGAGAUCCAGGGAGGAGGCUCGGCGACAGCGCACC
rnacentral:lncRNA from 1 species